rnacentral:rRNA from 1 species
AUUGAACGCUGGCGGCAGGCCUAACACAUGCAAGUCGAGCGGAUGAAGGGAGCUUGCUCCUGGAUUCAGCGGCGGACGGGUGAGUAAUGCCUAGGAAUCUGCCUGGUAGUGGGGGAUAACGUCCGGAAACGGGCGCUAAUACCGCAUACGUCCUGAGGGAGAAAGUGGGGGAUCUUCGGACCUCACGCUAUCAGAUGAGCCUAGGUCGGAUUAGCUAGUUGGUGGGGUAAAGGCCUACCAAGGCGACGAUCCGUAACUGGUCUGAGAGGAUGAUCAGUCACCCUGGAACUGAGACACGGUCCAGACUCCUACGGGAGGCAGCAGUGGGGAAUAUUGGACAAUGGGCGAAAGCCUGAUCCAGCCAUGCCGCGUGUGUGAAGAAGGUCUUCGGAUUGUAAAGCACUUUAAGUUGGGAGGAAGGGCAGUAAGUUAAUACCUUGCCGUUUUGACGUUACCAACAGAAUAAGCACCGGCUAACUUCGUG